ACGUACACUCCUGCGGGAGGCAGCAGUGGGGAAUAUUGGACAAUGGGCGCAAGCCUGAUCCAGCCAUGCCGCGUGAGUGAUGAAGGCCCUAGGGUUGUAAAGCUCUUUCACCGGUGAAGAUAAUGACGGUAACCGGAGAAGAAGCCCCGGCUAACUUCGUGCCAGCAGCCGCGGUAAUACGAAGGGGGCUAGCGUUAUUCGGAUUUACUGGGCGUAAAGCGCACGUAGGCGAACUAUUAAGUCAGGGGUGAAAUCCCGGGGCUCAACCCCGGAACUGCCUUUGAUACUGGUAGUCUUGAGUUCGAGAGAGGUGAGUGGAAUUCCGAGUGUAGAGGUGAAAUUCGUAGAUAUUCGGAGGAACACCAGUGGCGAAGGCGGCUCACUGGCUCGAUACUGACGCUGAGGUGCGAAAGCGUGGGGAGCAAACAGGAUUAGAAACCCGAGUAGUCCCAUGAU
rnacentral:rRNA from 1 species